UGACUUAAUGCUUGGAGGAGCCUGU
rnacentral:piRNA from 1 species